rnacentral:lncRNA from 1 species
UAAUUUCGGAUUCCAUAUUAACAACACAAACACACGGUUACAACAUCAACACUACUACAUGAUUACAAAGAAACAAAAGGAAAGAUAGUUAGACAAAUUGAAGGUAUAAUAUUAACAACCCAAAAGCCUAUUCCACUCUUGGACCUUUAACAUCACACACAUCAAAUACCUAACUCUUCUUUUGGUACAAGAGUGACCCCGAUCUCCCAAGCAUCCAACAUUUUUAAGAUUGAAUCCAACAUGAGCGAUUCCACACUUAAGUUGAUUUCCAUAGUUACAAUUUCGGGUUGGUGGUCUUCUCUCCCUAAUGAAACCCUACAUUAUUCUAUUUAUAGUGUAUUACAAAUAAUAGGUAAAAUGACCCAAAGGCCCCAUAGUGAAGGGGCAACCCUUUAGUAUAUGUAGUGAACUAAUUUGGCCCAUUUAGUGUAUGUAGUGGACUGUUUUGGUGUCUAUUUAGGUGCUCCUUUGCCCUCAGGUCUAAUGUACGCCCUUAUAAGUCCAUCUACGUGAUGGUACUCGUAUCAUCAUCCCUUUCUUGAAAAGGAUUCGACCUCGAAUCCGUACCUUGCAAAAUCAAAGAGAACAAACAAGUACACAUCCCCAUGGCAUGAGGGCUAGGGUUAGCAAAAUAAACAACUAGCACUAUUAUGCCACGGUGGUACACACUUGAAGCACAACCAAGGAUCCUUUGUGUUAAUUAUGAAAAGCUUUUGUACAACAUCACAAACGAAAGGGCUCGGAUGAACAUCAAGAAUUAAGGGACAAAAACCGAGACUAUGCCUCUCAUAUGAUGUAUAUCCAACAACAUCAUGAAUAGGGAGAAUAGGGAAACUACCAUGCAACAAUCCAAUCCAAGGCAAGUAGUUUGCCCAAGAACUCGGCUUCCCUCUACAAAUGAUGUGAAGCGUGCUCCGAAGAGUCCCACAAGAUACUUCAACUUGUCCAACCCCAUGAAGGUGACAAGAAGUUUUUAACAUCCUUGGACCCUUCCACAAAUAAGAAUAAAACUUGGCAUCCUCAAGUUGUGGUUCACAUAACUUAAAUACAAGUGUGUCAAACAUGGAUACACGGAUAUGUGCAAUACCCCAAAGAGACAAUGACAUAUUUGCCCUAUGGUCCUCGAGUAGACACAAACCAUUAUUAACAUCAAAGGGAUCACAAUUCAAGUCGCCAUAUUUGUCAACCACGGGUGGGGUGUCAUGCAAAGGAGUACAAGCAAAAUCAUUUUUCAAAGAUAUGUCAAGCACAUGAUUAAUCCUAUGAGCCAAGCAAACAUUAGAAUCUUUACAACAACAUAGGCUCAACAUCUUCAAAUUCUUCACUCACAUGAGAUUCAUUAAUCACAUCACACAUAUUCUCAAGUGGUGGGAAAGUUUUACACACAAGUUGAUCAACACAAUUUUCACAUAAUGAUGUACUUUCAUUCAACACAAUAUCUUUAACACUAGGUGGACACAAAUCAAUCAUACUAGAAGAGUCGAUUCGGUCAUCUAUAGGAUCAACUAGUGUAUCUACUCGCACAACAUAUACAUCAUCCACAAGUGGUAAGAAAUCAAUAUACUUAUAUGUAGGUAAGCUACUACUCACACUCAAUGGUUUAUUAGUCACAUGUUCAUCAUUCACAUGUACCAAAGUAUAAGAGUUAGCUAUUUUUCCUUGACGUUCAUGAGUAUGUUCAUCUUUACCUCGGUGUGAAAGUCCUUUACAAGUUUGGGAAGAAACUUCCAUCGGGAAGCUCUCACCGCAAGGUGUUUAUGGACCUUAGGUUUUGAAUUUAUUAGGAUAAGUGUGGAUACCAAUUGGCGUAGCCUUUCAACGUGCCCUUUCAUGUCUUCAAUAUUGUCAGUGAUGCGGUUAAACCAUGGUACCUAAAAGAAAAGAAAACAACGAACAACAAAAAAACAAACUUGUUAGCUCAAAAAUGCCUCACCACACUCUCACUCUCAAUUUUUACCUCACAAUUGAUUUCACAAGUGUUGAAAGUCGGCUUGUACUUCGCGAGUGAUUGAGGAUCGAGUCUACUCUUGCCCAGAAUAGAUUUUCGUUUGAGUUGACUCAAAGAAAAUUUAUUUACGGACUUGAACCAACAAGAUACAACGAAUUCACAAAAGAUAAAAGCACACAAAAAACGUAGAUACGAACAAACAGACUCUACAACUAACUUACAAUCUAGUAGGAGAUUACUAGUUUGUUAAUUAGUGUUCGAACCAACAAACGGAACUAGGAAACAAUAAAAUGAAACUAAAAAAUAUGAAAUUUAAGCUUAGAAAUUGUCGGUGAACAGUAAAAAUGUGAUGUGGCAGCCACGUAUUGGUUGCGGUUGUUAUCAAAUUUUAUUUUCUAAUUCAAGUCUUGAUCCAAUUGUAAUUUAGAAUUGGUGGGAAUUGAUUAAGGAGAGAAAACAAGUCUUGAAAUCUUUUUUCAAAUUCAAAAAGCAAGACUUGACUUUUCUCCUCAAGACAUGGUCCUUAAAUCAUGGAAGGUUGUUGAAAAAGUGGUUGUUAAAUUCCUUGUGGUUGGAAUUGGUUGUAAAAGUCUUGAGAGGUCUUAAAUUUUGGAAAUAUGUCUUUCAAGACUAACAAAAUACACUCUCUUUCUUCAACUUCCAAGAUCAAACAUCCACUUUUUCUUCAACAAUAGAUGAAGAUGUGAAGAACACCAAGAACACAUUUUUUUGAAUCUUGAAGUUCAAAGGUUCAAGUUGGGACCCCAAACAUCAACAACACCUUUCCAAGCUUAAAAGUACAACACAAUAACCACCACACACAUUCAAACCUUGAACCAACAACACACCACACGUCCAAACUUUGAAUCCGCAACAACAAUACCAACAACAAUCACAUGGCCAAAGUUUAGGUUCACAAUAACAACAUCAACAAUUAAAGCUCAAAUCUAGAUCUAGACUUCUUUAGUUUUAGAGGUGAAGAAUCUAACACUAGAAACAACAAAACAAAUAAAAUGACUCCUAGAUCUAGACUCAAAACAAGAAAAAUCUCGGCCAAGACACAUCAAGAACACAAUUUUGGCCAAGACACAAAAAUGGACAGAUUCACUUCUUUUUGGAAUUUUUUGAUUUCAACUUUUUUAUUUUGAAUUUUCUAACAAGCAAGCCCAAGAUUGAUCUUGUAGGAACAAGAUCUAGCCUUGCUUUGAUACCAAAUGAUACACGAAAGACAAUAGAAACUCAAAACAAACACCAAAAUUAGUCCACUAGCCAAGAAACCAAGGACCUCUUUUGGUGACCCCUCUAAAAUUCGCUACCAACAAGAAGAAAACAAAGCACAAUGGCGUAAUAACACCAAAACAGUAGAAACACAACAAGAACAAGAUGAACAAUAGACUAAUUUUGGAUUCCACAUUAACAACACAAACACAUGGUUACAACAUCAACACUACUACAUGAUUACAAAGAAACAAAAGGAUAGAUAGUUAGACAAAUUGAAGGUAUAAUAUUAACAACCCAAAAUUCUAUUCCACUCUUGGACCUUUAACAUCACACACAUCAAAUACCUAACUCUUAUGUUGACAUAAGAGUGACCCCGAUCUCCCAAGCAUCCAACAUUUCCAAGAUUGAAUCCAACACGAUCAAUUCCACACUCAAGUUGAUUUCCCUAGUUACAAUUUUGGGUUGGUGGUCUUUUCUCCUUAGAGAGGAGAUAUUUCAAGUGUUAUAAACUCAUAAUAUUCAUUAAAAUCUCCCUAAUGAAAUCCUACAUUAUUCUAUUUAUAGUGUAUUGCAAAUAAUAGGUAAAAUGACCAAAAGGCCCCUUAGUGAACACUACAAGAAAUAACGCCUUUAGUGGCAACAAAAGUCGCGGCAAAAGACAUUUAGUGGCGACUGGGAGGUCGUUGGUUUUACGAUCGUAACUAAAGGUUAUUUGUGGCGACAUAUGAGUCGCCACUGAAUGAAAGAAUUUAGUAGCGACCCCAGGUAGCCACAGAAAAUGACGAGAGGCGACUUCACCUUGCUACAAUAGGCAAUUUCAAUAUAGAGGAAAUACACCUUUAGCGGCAACUUAUAGUCACCACUAAGAUUAAUAUUUUUGAAAAAAAAAAUUAAUACACCUUUAGCGGCAACUUAUAGUCGCCACUAAUAUUAAUAUUUUUGAAAAAAAAUUAAUAUAAAUUUGUUGUACAAUUAUUUCUUAAUACAAAAUUUAAUGUCUUCAGACUUCUAAUCAAUAAUUCUCCAUCAUUUAAAGAACCUUUCCCUAUAACGAACAAAGUAAAUUUUCAUUUCGAUAGCUUGAAAUUGAGAAAGAAAAGAUUUGAUCACAACAAUAGAAAAAAUUCAUGCUAACUAGCAUGUUAAUAUAAAUGUAUUACAAGUUUCUUACUCACAACUACACCGUACACAUGGAUAGACACACCCAAUGUUGCUAGAAUUCCUCAAACAAAAGAUAAACACCAAAGCAGUUUCUUAUCAAAUACUAGGUAGUGAAGGCAUAGGCCGAACGUUGGAGCAUUUUUCUUACUUAAAUGGCAUAUAUAUUUUACAGUUUUUACAUGUAGAAAUUAUAUGGCUGGCAAGUGUUAUCUUGUUUACAUCCAUCACUAUAUUAUUCACCUCAGACAUCUACCAUGCUAUACUAUUUACAUGUUGAAAAUGAUGUUGUUUGUAGCUUCUUAGUGAAACUUAACAAAAAAAAAGAAGCAAGAGACUAUAGACAAAUGAGAUUCUCGACCAAAUUUAGUAAGUCUACUUCUUAACACAUACAAUAAUCUAAUGUAUCUACCAAUGUCACCUAAAUUGAACAUUGCCUUCUACAAAAACAUGCUAAUGAAAAUAUUUAUAAUGUAGAUCCACAUUCUCUCCAUUUCUAGUGUGUUUUAUCAUUUCUCAAAGUCUGCAGGGAGAAACAUUUCACUUUGACCAAGUUGUAGUAACAAUCAAGGUGUAUAAGCAUCACCAAGUUGAAGGGACAAUUAAGGUGUCUAAGCAUCAAGCUACUAAACAUUCCAAGGAGAUAAAUAGAGGACCAACAAACAUCAUCUCUGUUUCUUCCAAGAUUGCAUGUGGUUAAGUAUUUUCAAAAGAAUCCAACCAUUUUAUCUAGCGAAGAUUCACAUAUUUGUAGCUUUAGAAACAUGAAAAGAAACAUCAACAUGGCCAAAAACAUGUGGCCUCAGAUUGUACCUGAUGUUCAGAAAUGAUGCACAAAUAUUUUUUGGUCUUGAGCUCUUAGCAAACGUCAAUAUGAUAAAAUUUGUAAAUUAAGUCAACUUGUAGAAUAUUAAUACUUCCCUGAUACUUCGUUUCAUGGAACACAAAUAAAUUAGUAAUCUGAAGCAAAUUUUUAAUGUGCCCUUGAAUUAGGGAAGUGAAGCAAUUUGUAUUCAGCAAUAUUUUAUAAAAAUAAAUAAGCAAGAAGAAACAACCAUAUUCAACCAUAACAAAGAUGAUGGAAGCCUCAUUAAAUACUCCAGUUCUACUAUGCCAAAACACAUGAAAAGUCAGCAUUGUCAUUAAGAUUAUAUCUAACACAAGUAAAAUAAGCGACAAACCCUGAAAAACUCAUCUCGAUCAAGCAAGCUGGUAGCAGAUAGAGGCAACUGCAAGUGUACAAGUAAAGAAAUAUUGAAGCAUCACGAGGGUAUGAUUUGAAGACAAAAAGCUAUAGGAAAUAGCAAAAUAUUUAGCUAAUCUCGAUAUCAAACCACUCGAUAGAACAGAACAGUCAAAGAAGACUAUCGACUUAGCUAAUCUCAAUUGAAGACCUACAUUAUAAAAAGGAAAAAGGAUUAACAGAAGUAAACAGAGGAGAAUAUUAGACAAACAUGAAAACAAAAAUAGAAGAAGACUAACCAGAAUGGAAAGUAUUAUUCUCAAAUAAACCAUAAGGUGCUGCACUAAACUAUAUCCCAUUCUUUUACUUUAAAUUAUCUCCAUAGUAAAAAUAUCUAGAAGAUAUAAAAAGCUUCUUAACUAAAUAAAUUAGGAACAUUUUGUUUAGCUAAACUACAAUAUCAUGUUAUCCAUGGAAACAUAUCGGAAGACAUCCGAGGAGCUAAAAUAACUCAAUUAUAAUGUUAAUGCUAGCUAACAACCAGCAAAAGUUCCAGGUAAGCUCUGGCGGCACAAUUGAAGAUCAGAAUUCAAAUAUCAAUUUACAUAAAAUCAAUCAAGCUAAAAAAGGAAAAAAUUUCAAUCAAUGGAAUCAAUUAUUCAAAUCAUCAAAGAAGGAAAAAUAUAUGACCAAGCCAUUUAGAGUGAAACCAAAUACGAAAUUGGAUGAAUCAAAAAAUCAAAAUCAACUGUUAUAAUUUCAAAUUUAAUAAUCUAUCAAAUAAAAGAACGAGAAGAAGAUAACAAUGUUAAUUUGGGACAUGAAAUUAAAUUGAGUACAAACCUGGAUGGAUUCACGGAUUUUGCCAGCGAUGAGUGGAAAUUAUGGCGGCGGAGAAGUGGACCAGUGGUGGUCCUUCGGACUGGCAGCUCCUGUUGCUGUUGCCUUUUCCGUCGGUAGAUGGGGAAUCUGACAGGCGCUUGAUCGGUGAUGGAGUUACCCACUUCUCCGGUGGAGGGCGGCGGCUACGUGGAGGGAUGGAGAAGGCGUUGUUUGAGGGCUGUUGGUGGGGCAGGGCUUGGUCGGAGAUGGCUUCAUUUGGGCUCACAAUAAGGGCUGUUGGUGGCGCGCGGCUCGCCGGAGCAUGGGUUUUCUGGUGGUUUUAAAGAGAAAGAGAGAGAGAGAGAAGGGAGAGAGGAGCGGCGCUGGUGUUGGGUGGUUGAUCGGCGGCGGUUCACCGGUGACAGUGAUGCAUCUGUUGUGGUGAGAGAGAGAGUAUGGGGAGGAGAGAGGUGGCUGCUUUGUUGUUGUUGAAAAUUGGAUUAGGUUUUAGGUUUUGUUUAAAGAAGAGAGUGAGAGAUUUGAUCUCAGUCAUUGGAUCAAUUUUGAUCCAAUGGCUGAGAUUAAAAGGGUUUAAAAG